rnacentral:rRNA from 1 species
UACAGAGGUGGCAAGCGUUGUUCGGAAUUACUGGGCGUAAAGGGCGCGUAGGCGGUCUUCUAAGUCUUGUGUGAAAUCCCUCGGCUCAACUGAGGAACUGCACGGGAUACUGGAAGACUUGAGUUCGGGAGAGGGAAGCGGAAUUCCGGGUGUAGCGGUGAAAUGCGUAGAUAUCUGGAGGAACACCGGUGGCGAAGGCGGCAUCCUGGACCGAUACUGACGCUGAGGAGCGAAAGCCAGGGGAGCAAACAGG